CCUACGGGUGGUAGCAGUGAGGAAUAUUGGUCAAUGGGCGCGAGCCUGAACCAGCCAAGUAGCGUGAAGGAUGAAGGUCUUCGGAUCGUAAACCUCUGUCAGCAGGGAAGAACGGUCACUGUGCUAAUCAGCAGUGCAUUGACGGUACCUGCAAAGGCAGCACCGGCUAACUCCGUGCCAGCAGCCGCGGUAAUACGGAGGGUGCGAGCGUUAAUCGGAAUUACUGGGCGUAAAGCGCUCGUAGGCGGUAUGUCAAGUCAAGGGUGAAAUCCCCGCGCUCAACGUGGGAACUGCCUUUGAAACUGGCAAACUGGAGUGUGUGAGAGGAUAGUGGAAUUCCAGGUGUAGGAGUGAAAUCCGUAGAUAUCUGGAGGAACAUCAGUGGCGAAGGCGACUAUCUGGCACAUAACUGACGCUGAGGAGCGAAAGCGUGGGUAGCAAACAGGAUUAGAUACCCUUGUAGUC
rnacentral:rRNA from 1 species